rnacentral:tRNA from 1 species
CGCGGGGUGGAGCAGCCUGGUAGCUCGUCGGGCUCAUAACCCGAAGGUCGUCGGUUCAAAUCCCGGCCCCCCGCAACCA